ensembl:lncRNA
CUCGGGGCUCGGGGCGGGGGCAUGGAGGGGCUCUCGGGGGAGGAGCUCGUGGUGCUGCCGGCACGCACGCAGAGGCGAGGCGUGCGGUGCGGUGCGGUGCGGUGCGAGCGAGUGGUGCUUGUAGGAGCUGAGCUGGAUGCUGUGGCAGGCAGCUCCCAAUGAAUAUCUUGGCCCCCACAGCCACUGCGGGCUGUGCUCUGCUGGCUUGGCACCGGGAGGACAGCCCCGAUGAGUGGGCACGGACGCAGCCACGGUUGGCAAGAAGGACAAGCGGGUGCUGUCCUAGCAGUGUCUUCCCACAAGGAUCAAGCUUCCUGCGUAUGGCCGUAGCACCCCUGAUGCUCUCGGCAGGCACGGCAGCCUGUGGCCCGCAUCAGCUCUGUGCCCCAGCUGCUGCCUCUCUGCUCCCCGCUGCCAGCUGCCUGCUUCGUGGCAGGAGGAGAUGCUCUCUUGCUGUCACCGAGUAUGAGCAGUAGGGCAAGGACGCUGCCGUAGUCCACAGGCCUGCAGUGACUGACAUCCUUCCAAGUCCCCGGGUGUCCUCUGGAAGUGGUGUCCUGCAAUACUUACCUACCACGACUUUGCCCCCCAGGCUGUCUGAGAUGCUCUAGCAAAUAGUAGGUAAUGUUGGAAUCCCAGCAUGGGACCGCACAUGGGAAGAGGCACUGGAUGCUGAAAUGGAAGCCAUGGCUUCUGUCUCGCAGGAGGCAGGCGUAGUCAGGUGCGCUUUGGAGCCUGCUGUUGUUUGCACUGGCCUCAGGAGAUGCCAUCACAGCGAGCGGCUGUGUGCUGCGUGUCCCAGGCUGAGAAGGGGAUUCCCUUGUGGAAGGAGGGCGAGGGUGAAGGAGGCUGAGGGCCCUUUUGUCGGGGCCGGCUCCUGUGUGCCCUCUUGCUGGCGCGAGAGAAGGGCUGCCGCUGGGCACAGGGAGCGCCUUCUACCUGGCGUCCCGUGCCCUGUCCUGCAGCCCCCUCCUCCUCCUCCGUGGAAGGCCACUGCCAGCAGUGCGGCUGCCAUUUUAGAACCUUCGCCAUGUCCCAGCUGUCACCUUGGUCACCGCUG